rnacentral:rRNA from 1 species
UUGACCUCGGAUCAGGUAGGGAUACCCGCUGAACUUAAGCAUAUCAAUAAGCGGAGGAAAAGAAACCAACAGGGAUUGCCUCAGUAACGGCGAGGUGAAGCGGCAACAGCUCAAAUUUGAAAUCUGACCCCUCUGGGCCCGAGUUGUAA